rnacentral:snRNA from 1 species
AUCGCUUCUCGGCCUUUUGGCUAAGAUCAUAUGUAGUAUCUGUUCUUAUCAGUUUAAUAUCUGAUACGCCCCCUAUCUGGGGACCAUAUAUUAAAUUGAUUUUUGGAACAGGGAGAUGGAAUAGGGGCUUGCUCCGUAGAAAAAAAAAAAAGAAAUCUGGAGCCAUUAUGGAUGGCACUUCAAUUAGUUUGCUCAGUGCAU